rnacentral:rRNA from 1 species
GACAGAGGAUGCAAGCGUUAUCCGGAAUGAUUGGGCGUAAAGCGUCUGUAGGUGGCUUUUUAAGUCUGCCGUCAAAUCCCAGGGCUUAACCCUGGACAGGCGGUGGAAACUACCAAGCUGGAGUACGGUAGGGGCAGAGGGAAUUUCCGGUGGAGCGGUGAAAUGCGUAGAUAUUGGGGAGGAACAUCAGUAGCGAAGGCGCUUUCUGGGUCACACCUGACGCUGAGGUACGAAAGCGUGGGGAGCAAACGGG